rnacentral:rRNA from 1 species
UACGAAGGGGGCUAGCGUUGCUCGGAAUCACUGGGCGUAAAGCGCACGUAGGCGGCUUCUUAAGUCAGGGGUGAAAUCCUGGAGCUCAACUCCAGAACUGCCUUUAAGACUGCAUCGCUUGAAUCCAGGAGAGGUGAGUGGAAUUCCGAGUGUAGAGGUGAAAUUCGUAGAUAUUCGGAAGAACACCAGUGGCGAAGGCGGCUCACUGGACUGGUAUUGACGCUGAGGUGCGAAAGCGUGGGGAGCAAACAGG